AACGGCCAUACCAUGCUGAAUAUACCGGUUCUCGUUAGAUCACCGAAGUCAAGCAUCAUUGGGCGUUGUCAGUACUUGGGUGGGUGACCACCUGGGAACACCGCGUGCCGUU
rnacentral:rRNA from 1 species